ensembl:lncRNA
CUCACAACCUUCCCUGGCCGGCUGGCCUCCUGGGGAAUCGAACUACAAACUCUCACCGUUCCCAGGCAGCACAACUGAUAGGCAGGGGACAAAGGGAAUUGUACUCCCUUCCUGCUGGAUGUGGAAUAAAAUUGUGUCCGAAGUACAUGGGGGGACAGCUAAGUGUGCAAAGGAGUGUUAUUGGCUUUGGGUUCUGAAAGUCCCAGGAAUUUAUUUAUUUAUUUAACUUAUCUGCUUCUGCUCUUUCCUUCUGCUUCUGCUCUCCAGACCAGGGUUGCUUCUCCCCAGCCAACUAGAACUGAUGGAAGCUCUGGAGGAAGCGCCCGACCCCUUUUUUGGCCUGAUGGAGCCUCUGCUGCCGAGUCCUUCCUCCAUUCCACAUGUAAGAUGAUGAUCUCCCCGCACCCCCCUGACCCAAGAUAAUACGGCUUGCUUCUUCUCCCUCCCUUCCUCCCUCCCUCCCUCUCCGUGCGCUGGAUCCGAGCUUUCCAACAAGGGAAGCGGAUGAAGCAACAUCAUCCUUAUAUCUCCCUCCGCUUCCAGGUUCGAAACAUCUUGGAAACACCGACUCCGGAGAGAAGCCCCACGGAACGUGCCCCGUCUUCCAUGCGUCGGAGGACAGGAGAGCCUCUCCUCACCGUCUCUCCCGACGCCAUCACCCUCCGGGAGGCUGAACCCAUUACCUUGCCGAGGUUUGAAGUAAGGUCUUCUGCUGCCGCAGGGAAAUGGGAGACGGAGUGGUUUCAUGAUCUCAGACGUUGGGGGUGGGUGGGUGGCCUUUGGACUACAACUCCCAUUACCCACCCCUCCCAGCCCGUCAGCCAUGCUGCUGGUGGUAGGGAGUUAUGGGAGUUUUCACCCAGAAAAGUAACUUUCUCCUUCUGUGCCAUGAUGUGGGUUCACACUGGACGUUUCAUUUUUUUCUCUCUCGGUGGCAGGAGGAGCGAGACCUCCCCGAAAUCACGGCUCAAGAGAUCGACAUGUUGGCUGAACAAGAAGGGUUCCUGGUGCCCGGUGUGGCGACACCCCUGCUUUCGCCCAGGAAACGCCGUUUGGAAGAAGAACCCGCAGAGGAAAUCCGUGAACAGGAGCCUUCCCUGGCCUUGGGGCUGUCGCCUCCCCCACGGAUCAAGGAAGAGCCCUCCGCUCCCAAGGAAGCCGGGCUCCGGUUGACUGGGGACGUUCAGCUGCCUGGGGAGGUCCCUCUGCUGCCGUUAUUAGGUGGGGUGAGACUCUAUUUGGGGCAGGAGGGAGGCUGAGGCUGAAGGUUUCUAGUUUUUUAAAAAAAGCUGGAGUUGGAAAGGUUAUGAGGAGAUCAUAGACUUGGGGGUUUGAAAUCUGUUUUGUCCGUCUGUAAAAGAUGGAGGGGACGUAGCUUAAUGGUAUGGGGAAGUGGUUUGUGGCUGAAAGGCGGGUUCAGUUCCUUCCAGGCUCCUCUAGAGUAGGAUUGGCCAGUAGGCUUUCCCUAAUUCAGGUGAGGCUGGCUAGAUAGGCUCGGUAGUUUAGGUCUCUGACUGGGAGUUUGAUUCCCCCAUGUCGCCUCCGGAGGAGAAGAGCCAGCCUGGGGGACUUUGGGCCAUCUGCACUGUUGUCCUAGGACGCCCCUAGAGGAAGGGAAGGGUAAAGCACCUCUGAGUCUUUUCCCAGAAACUCUGGAAAGGGUCGACGUACGUCAGGAUUGACUUGAAAGCACACGAUGGCUAUUGAUUCCAUUGAAGCCUAAGGCAGACCGGACCGUUUUUAAAGAACAAGGAAAAGGCCACGUGGUUCCCCAAAGACUGCACAGAUGCAGGAGUGGGUGAUACCUUUUAUCGGACCAAAAAUAAAAAAUAAAAAAUCAGUUCA